GUUGCCUUGAUCUAAUUUGAUUUGGUUUAAACCAUCUAUUUAUUAGUUGGUUUAUCUGAUUUUUAUGAAAGUAUUUCAUAUGGUUAAACCAUCUCCAUGCUAAAACCAUAUGCCAAAAUGUUUGGCACGCCCAAAAUAAAUGGCGAUGAGAAGGAACAGUCCUUCUCAUCUACUCCUCUUAGUUUUAUUACCAAGUUCCGCUGGUUCCUUAUUUUUGUGUGCCAUCUGAUGGUGCCUUGGGAUUUAUGGGCAUGGAAGAGGAGAAGGAAUCCUUCUCUGAGAAGGAACUCCAUGCCAUAUUUAGUUUGGAUGCCACCUUAUUUUUGGGGUGA
rnacentral:lncRNA from 1 species